rnacentral:rRNA from 1 species
GGAGGGGAGCGAACGUUGUUCGGAAUCACUGGGUGUAAAGGGUGCGUAGGCGGGCUUUGUUCGUCAGAGGGUGAAAUCUACCGGGCUCACCCGGUUAGACUGCCUCUGAAACUGCAAGGCUUGAGUCCGUCAGGGGAUGGUGGAAUUCCUGGUGUAACGGUGAAAUGUGCAGAUAUCAGGAAGAACACCGGUGGCGAAGGCGGCCAUCUGGGACGGUACUGACGCUGAGGCACGAAAGCUAGGGUAUCGAACGGGAUUAGAUACCCCGGUAGUCCUAGCCGUAAACGAUGUCCACUAGGUGUUGGAGGUCCUACCCCUUCAGUGCCGCAGCUAACGCAUUAAGUGGACCACCUGGGGAGUACGCUCGCAAAGGGUG